rnacentral:rRNA from 1 species
UACGAAGGGGGCUAGCGUUGCUCGGAAUCACUGGGCGUAAAGGGCGCGUAGGCGGCCACCGCAAGUCGACUGUGAAAUCUCCGGGCUUAACCCGGAAAGGUCAGCCGAUACUGCGGGGCUAGAGUGCAGAAGGGGCAACUGGAAUUCUCGGUGUAGCGGUGAAAUGCGCAGAUAUCAGGAGGAACACCGGUGGCGAAGGCGGAUCUCUGGGCCUUGCCUGACGCUGAGGCGCGAAAGCUAGGGGAGCGAACAGG